CAGCCGCCGCGGGAAUACGUAGGGUGCGAGCGUUAAUCGGAAUUACUGGGCGUAAAGCGUGCGCAGGCGGUUAUAUAAGACAGAUGUGAAAUCCCCGGGCUCAACCUGGGACCUGCAUUUGUGACUGUAUAGCUAGAGUACGGUAGAGGGGGAUGGAAUUCCGCGUGUAGCAGUGAAAUGCGUAGAUAUGCGGAGGAACACCGAUGGCGAAGGCAAUCCCCUGGACCUGUACUGACGCUCAUGCACGAAAGCGUGGGGAGCAAACAGGAUUAGAUACCCCCGUAGUCCCUGUCUCUUAUAC
rnacentral:rRNA from 1 species